GCUCAGGAUGAACGCUGGCGGCGUGCUUAACACAUGCAAGUCGAACGAAGCACUUUAAUCGAUUUCUUCGGAUUGAAAUUUUAGUGACUGAGUGGCGGACGGGUGAGUAACGCGUGGGUAACCUGCCUCACACAGGGGGAUAACAGUUGGAAACGGCUGCUAAUACCGCAUAAGCGCACAGUACCGCAUGGUACAGUGUGAAAAACUCUGGUGGUGUGAGAUGGACCCGCGCCUGAUUAGCUGGUUGGCAGGGUAACGGCCUACCAAGGCGACGAUCAGUAGCCGACCUGAGAGGGUGACCGGCCACAUUGGGACUGAGACACGGCCCAAACUCCUACGGGAGGCAGCAGUA
rnacentral:rRNA from 1 species